rnacentral:rRNA from 1 species
GAUGAACGCUGGCGGCGUGCCUCAAACAUGCAAGUCGAGCGGGGCUAUGUAAUAUCGCAAGGUAGAACAUAGCCUAGCGGCGAACGGGUGAGUAACACGUGGGUAACCUGCCUGGAAGACAGGGAUAACGAUUCGAAAGGGUCGCUAAUACCUGAUAAUAUCCUUUCAUCGCAUGGUGAUAGGAAGAAAGGGGAAACCCGCUUUCAGAUGGGCCCGCGUCCCAUCAGCUAGUUGGUAAGGUAAAGGCUUACCAAGGCGACGACGGGUAGCCGGUCUGAGAGGAUGUACGGCCACACUGGGACUGAGAUACGGCCCAGACUCCUACGGGAGGCAGCAGUUGGGAAUCUUAGGCAAUGGACGAAAGUCUGACCUAGCGACGCCGCGUGAGGGAAGAAGGCCUUCGGGUUGUAAACCUCUGUCAUGGGGGAAGAAGUAAGUGACGGUACCCAAGAGGAACGCCCCUGCUAACUACGUAGCCAGGCACGCCGGCGGUAACGUAGUACUCUAU